GCACAGCUGAAGAGUCUCACAAUAAGACGAAAUAGCCGUCCAGUGC
rfam:Schistosoma mansoni, Puerto Rico, WGS project CABG01000000 data, contig: 0108